UUUUACUUUUAUAUUCUCUCAGAAAGAAAAGAAAAGGAGAGGAAAGGAAAAAAAAAGAUAUUUUUUUUUUUUUUUGUAAGAAGUUUCAGAUGAUGAUAUUUGCAAGAAGAGAGCUACAAGCUCCGAUCAGCAGAUCCAUCAUAUUCUUCGGCAUCAACCCCAGUGCUUCUUAGCUCAGGUCUGUUCAGACAUGUUUUAGAGAUAAAUCAAGUUGGCGACACAUAAGUGUGAUAUUGUUGAAGAAUUUCUUCUUCUUCUUCACGAGUCGAAGCCAUGAAAACACCACUUUCUAUACCUAUUAGAUCGCCGCUUGUUGAAUUCAUCCAUGGUGAAGAAG